UCAAUGUACUAUGCUACAAAA
ensembl:piRNA 21ur-2815 ncRNA